UUCUGUCACUGAUCAUGCAAUGAGGGAUCUGACAGGACUGGGUGUUAGAGCCAGCAGCACUUGGAAGAAUCGGAGUCUACACUGAUUUGGGAGUUUUGGUGUUGAAAACUGCAUUUUGGACAAGACUAGUAUCAACUCCCACCGUUCAUCACUUGAGACUCUUCCAGUCCCACUCCGUGGUCAAAAUGCCUGCAGCUUCCAGCAGGAUAGUGGAAAAUAGAGCAAAUGAGAAGGACUGGAAUAAGAAUAGUCUAGGGACAUCAGGGAGAGGUGGCAAAUAAAGGGUCUUAUUCUUGGGAGUCUGAGUAAGAUACAGCUCCCUGUCAUCCUGUCUCUCUGGUUAAAGGUUUGUUUUUGCUCUUUCCACAGUACCUGGGAGGUUUUCCAUUCCUGCCUCCCUGACAGCUGUUUUGUCUCACAUUUUCAAACACACAGGAGACAAUUUUCUCUUCAAAUGCUCCUGAUCUCAGCCCUGAGUCUUGGACCACUCCAGGUGUGGUGAAGGACGUCCCUGAUUUGUGGCACAGUGGUAGCAAGAUGGGUUGGUGAAGACCUGAAAGAAAAAGAGCCUGGCUGUGGAAUUGGACCCUUAAAACCAAUUAAUUUAUUUGAAGGAUGAACUGGGAAGUCCACUGACUGCCUUCACUGCUGCCUUUGGCUUGGUUUUGUAAUUUUACAUCUUUGUCCUUACACCGGAGCCUGAUCCAGGAAACCAGGGAGUACUUCAGGUUCUUCCAUUGAAAUGCUUGAGGCUGAAAGUUAGCUGAAUGCAAAAAGAAUCAAGAAACAGAGAAACAUUCCAUGGUCCUUAAAACCCAAAGAUGUCAAUGAAGUUGAAAAGUGUCCGUUUCCCAGCAGGAUGCUGGCUGUUCCCCAGAAUGCCUGGGCAGUUUGUAGAGGCCCUAAUAUCUCCUGAUGGUGACGGAAGGAUUUGUAGGGAAAGCUUCCUGCAGGGCAGAGGCCUGCUGCCUUUGAAUAGAAGGCAGCCAGCAGCUCUACGGGCCUCAGCAAGAGAUGCCACUGCACCAUCAGGAAACUUUGAUUUAUUAUCUGAGAAAUUCACCAUCCAUCUGCAUGAAGAGGUCACAGAAGCAACUUUCCUAAUGUGAAUCUGAGACCCCCAUUAUUUCCCACUUAUUGCUACAAGCAUGAAAAAUUGUUCCAACCGAGAAAGCUGGACUUUCAGGACUUGUUGCCAUGGUUGAAUUUAUAGGAAUAUUUAGGAGCAAUGCCUAGUGGGUUUUUUUUGAACCUAUAAACUCCAACAAUUUUCACAGGUUUUUGCUAAUUAAUGCCACCACUGUGGAAAUGGAAGCAGUUCUGCAAACAAGCUGCGACAAAUGGGAUUUUUAUUGCCAGUGGAAAAGCCCAGGGAAUAAUUAGCGCGUCCAUGGAGAUCUUUUGAUUACAGACAUCUGCAUUGGUAAUGUCCAGACGCAAAGAUCACCCAGGGAAAUGUUUUGGGAGUUUCACCUUAGGGCACAUUUAUUGUAUUGUCAGCUACACCCUUCAAAAUGCAGUCGGACAUAUGUGGGAAAAUAUUUUGUGAAAUGCUAGGCCAAGGAACCUGAUGUUGACUAAUCUGGUCUAGGGAAACUGGCUUUGCUUUCCAAAGCACUGUCCAGCUGCCAAGACUUGCAGAUGUAAUAUUUUGAUAUCUCAUUAAAGCUGAUUUCACAGAGAUAUUUCUCAGUGCUGCAUCUGAGUUGCUGUGAGUUGCCCGAGAUGCUUUUGCAGUUAUCACUGCCUUGCUGAAUAGGAUGAAGAGGAAACAACGAGACUGAUUAUUAAAAAGCCACAUGACUCCUUGAAAAUGAAACAUUGAAGAAAGAAUUCAUGUAAAGACAGGAUUUAUUAGUUCAGGUUUAAGGGUAACUUGAUUU